GGUCAAAGUAAUAAGGGCUAACGGUGGAUACCUAGGGCACACAGAGGCGAAA
rnacentral:rRNA from 1 species